rnacentral:rRNA from 1 species
AACGAACGCUGGCGGCAGGCCUAACACAUGCAAGUCGAACGCUCGUAGCAAUACGGGAGUGGCAGACGGGUGAGUAACACGUGGGAACCUUCCCUAUGGUUCGGAAUAGCUCAGGGAAACUUGGGGUAAUACCGGAUAAGCCCUUCGGGGAAGGAUUAUCGCCAUUGGAUGGGCCCGCGUCGGAUUAGCUAGUUGGUGAGGUAACGGCUCACCAAGGCAACGAUCCGUAGCAGGUCUGAGAGGAUGAUCAGCCACACUGGGACUGAGACACGGCCCAGACUCCUACGGGAGGCAGCAGUGGGGAAUAUUGGACAAUGGGCGCAAGCCUGAUCCAGCCAUGCCGCGUGAGUGACGAAGGUCUUCGGAUUGUAAAACUCUUUUGGCGGGGACGAUAAUGACGGUACCCGCAGAAUAAG